rnacentral:rRNA from 1 species
UACGGGGGGGGCAAGCGUUGUUCGGAAUUACUGGGCGUAAAGGGCUCGUAGGCGGCCAACUAAGUCAGACGUGAAAUCCCUCGGCUUAACCGGGGAACUGCGUCUGAUACUGGAUGGCUAGAGUUUGGGAGAGGGAUGCGGAAUUCCAGGUGUAGCGGUGAAAUGCGUAGAUAUCAGGAGGAACACCGGUGGCGAAGGCGGAUCUCUGGGCCGUAACUGACGCUGAGGAGCGAAAGCAUGGGGAGCGAACAGG